GCUAUAUCGAGUCAAUAUUGCAAUCACCUCAGUUAUCUACGAGAAAACUAUUUUCCAAUUCAUGAAACAGCGUCAAAAUACAUCCCAUUAAAGAGCGGAUGGGAGAACAAAAAAAUAUCGCGAACGUGCAAGCUGAACCCUACCCCCUCCCUCUUUAAUGGGGGCGGCCCUAAGGAAUAAAUGCAUCGUCACUUUGUUUGUUUUUAUUUCUCUUUUCUCAUACACUGUUAUUGCAAUCAUUCACGUUUGUUUGUUUUUUCUAAAGCUGGAAUACGAGUGAUUAAGACAUUUUAUAACACAAUGAUUUGAUAGCCUUGCUAAAUACAUCAUGGCCUAGACAGCUCGACGCUCGUACAUCGCCAGUAGGAAUCCUAUUUUUGGAGCAGAUAAGUUCGCCUACAUUCAAGAAUAUGUACUGUGCAUGAUCUAACCAUGCUUAACUCAGCAGUGAGUUUUGUACAACAUCAGAUCACUUUAAGAUCGCCCACAUUCAAGAACAUGUACUACCUCUGUAUGAUCUAACCAUGCUUAACUCAGCAGUGAGUUUUGUACAACAUCAGAUCACUUUAAGAUCGCCCACACUCAAGAACAUGUACAACAUCUGCAUGAUCUAACCAUGCUUAACUCAGCAGUGAGUUCUGUACAACAUCAUCAGAUCAUUUUAAGGUAGCCCACAUUCAAGAACAUGUACUACCUCUGUAUGAUCUAACCAUGCUUAACUCAGCAGUGAGUUUUGUACAACAUCAGAUCACUUUAAGGUAGCCCACAUUCAAGAACAUGUACUACCUCUGCAUGAUCUAACCAUGCCUAACUCAGCAGUGAGUUCUGUACAAAAUCAGAUCACUUUAAGGUAGCUC
rnacentral:lncRNA from 1 species